rnacentral:rRNA from 1 species
AGCCGGGGUUUCGUUUACCUAGAUACUGUCAUUAUCAUCUCUGGCGAAAGAGCUUUACGAUCCUAAGACCUUCUUCACUCACGCGGCAUGGCUGGAUCAGGCUUGCGCCCAUUGUCCAAGAUUCCCC